UUGACAAUCUGAUUGUGAAGGCAUACUUUCAGGAGUGAGGGUAGAGCGGGGUUUCCCCCGCCCUGGUAGUCUUAGUAAGCCGGGAAGCUUAUGACUAAGAGCACCACGAUGAUGAUCCACUUCAUUAUGACCCUUUCCUUAUU
rnacentral:sRNA from 1 species